AACGAACGCUGGUGGCGUGCUUAACACAUGCAAGUCGAACGAGAAAGUUUCCUUCGGGAAAUUAGUAAAGUGGCGCAAGGGUGAGUAUCACGUGAAUAAUCUGCCCUCGAGAUCGGGAUAACAUGGUGAAAACUAUGCUAAUACCGGAUAAGACCACAUUUCAUAAGAAAUGCGGUAAAAGGAGUCUCAAUCUUUACUCGAGGAUGAGUUCGCGCAACAUUAGCUUGUUGGUGAGAUAAAAGCUCACCAAGGCUACGAUCCGUAGCUGGUCUGAGAGGAUGAUCAGCCACACUGGGACUGAGACACGGCCCAGACUCCUACGGGAGGCAGCAGUGGGGAAUAUUGCACAAUGGGCGAAAGCCUGAUGCAGCCAUACCGCGUGGUGAG
rnacentral:rRNA from 1 species